rnacentral:rRNA from 1 species
GAUGAACGCUGGCGGCGUGCCUAAUACAUGCAAGUCGAGCGAACGGACGAGAAGCUUGCUUCUCUGAUGUUAGCGGAGGACGGGUGAGUAACACGUGGAUAACCUACCUAUAAGACUGGGAUAACUUCGGGAAACCGUAGCUAAUACCGGAUAAUAUUUUGAACCGCAUGGUUCAAAAGUGAAAGACGGUCUUGCUGGCACGUAUAGAUGGAUCCGCGCUGCAUUAGCUAGUAGGUAAGGUAACGGCUUACCAAGGCAACUAUGCAUAGCCGACCUGAGAGGCUGAUCGGCCACCCUGGAACUUGGACGCGGUCCAGACUCCUACGGGAGGCCGCAGUAGGGUAUCUUCCGCAAUGGUCGAGAGCCUUACGGAGCAACGCCGCGUGAGUUAUGAAGGUCUUCGGAUCGUAAAACUCUGUUAUUAGGUAAGAACAUAUGUGUAAGUAACUGUGCACAUCUUGACGGUACCUAAUCAGAAAGCCACGGCUAACUACGUG